GCCGCAUGCAGGGGGAUACCGGCUGGAAACAGCCGCUAAUACCGCAUAUGCGCACAGCGCCGCAUGGCGCAGUGCGGAAAGGGAGCAAUCCCGGCAUGCGAUGGGUCCGCGUCCGAUUAGCUUGUUGGCGGGGCAGCGGCCCACCAAGGCGACGAUCGGUAGCCGGCCUGAGAGGGCGGACGGCCACAUUGGGACUGAGACACGGCCCAG
rnacentral:rRNA from 1 species